rnacentral:tRNA from 1 species
GGGUUGUAGCUCAGUGGUAGAGUGCUUGCCUAGCAUGUGUGAGGCACUGGGUUCUAAUCCUCAGCACCA